rnacentral:rRNA from 1 species
CCGACCUGAGAGGGUGAUCGGCCACACUGGGACUGAGACACGGCCCAGACUCCUACGGGAGGCAGCAGUAGGGAAUCUUCCGCAAUGGACGAAAGUCUGACGGAGCAACGCCGCGUGUAUGAAGAAGGUUUUCGGAUCGUAAAGUACUGUUGUUAGAGAAGAACAAGGAUAAGAGUAACUGCUUGUCCCUUGACGGUAUCUAACCAGAAAGCCACGGCUAACUACGUGCCAGCAGCCGCGGUAAUACGUAGGUGGCAAGCGUUGUCCGGAUUUAUUGGGCGUAAAGCGCGCGCAGGCGGUCUUUUAAGUCUGAUGUGAAAGCCCCCGGCUUAACCGGGGAGGGUCAUUGGAAACUGGAAGACUGGAGUGCAGAAGAGGAGAGUGGAAUUCCACGUGUAGCGGUGAAAUGCGUAGAUAUGUGGAGGAACACCAGUGGCGAAGGCGACUCUCUGG